rnacentral:rRNA from 1 species
GACGAACCGUGCGAACGUUGUUCGGAAUCACUGGGCAUAAAGGGCGCGUAGGCGGCUUUUCAAGUCAGGGGUGAAAUCCGGCAGCUCAACUGUCGAAGUGCCCUUGAUACUGAUGAGCUCGAGGGAGGUAGGGGUGUGUGGAACUUCCGGUGGAGCGGUGAAAUGCGUUGAUAUCGGAAGGAACGCCGGUGGCGAAAGCGACGGACUGGAUCUCUUCUGACGCUGAGGCGCGAAAGCCAGGGGAGCAAACGGG